AGUCUUUCCCCUUAGGUGUUAGUGUAAUAUCUUUGUCAUGUACUUUAAAUUUUGGAAACUGAGUUUUAGUAUGUGCAUAACUAAUAAUAACAAGGUUUUCCUGCCUGCAAGUGGGAUAGACAAACGGAGGAAAAAAUUAAGAUGCAAGCAUGUUGCGUACUUCUGUUCCUUGAUAUGUUAUUACUGCAAAACUUUAGCGCAUAGUUGGUCCUUACGAAUUGGCAAUUGACUUUUAUCUCAGAUACGAAUGCGAGUUCUAAAAAGUAGAAAUGUUUGAAAUGGAAUACAGAUUUCUAAGAAAGACUCCAUUGUUUUAAGAAGACAGUUUCAAGAUGAAGGGUAACCAUACGUCUAAUUCUGUUCAGGAUUCAAGUCAAGACACCUGCGAUUUCAAGCUAAACUAAUUUGUGUAGCAAACUA